rnacentral:lncRNA from 1 species
CAGCUUCCUUGCACUCCGAGAAGUAGAGUUCGUGUGAAAGGAGAGAUUAGUGGCUGGGUUUCUGAGGAGAAAACGUGGCGAGGAGGGAGCUCUCGCCAUGCCCCACAGCCGGCCCUGAUGACUGAGGCCUGCAGCAGCAGACGGAGCUGGAGGAUGGCACAAGAUAAAGGGAAGAGUCAUGUGGAGGAGUUCACCCAGGGAUGGCCGGGCGGAUCUUGGUGAAGGUUGC